rnacentral:rRNA from 1 species
CCCUUAGAUGUCCGGGGCCGCACGCGCGCUACACUGAAGGAAUCAGCGUGGCUUUCUCCCUGACCCGAAAGGGUUGGGAAACCCGUUGAAUCUCCUUCGUGAUAGGGAUUGGGGCUUGAAAUUGUUCCCCAUGAACGAGGAAUUCCCAGUAAGCGCGAGUCAUAAGCUCGCGUUGAUUACGUCCCUGCCCUUUGUACACACCGCCCGUCGCUACUACCGAUUGAACGGUUUAGUGAGGGCCUCGGAUUGGUCUCGGCCCGCUCUUUACCGGGCGGCGCCGUUGGUCGAGAAGACGCUCGAACUUGAUCGUUUAGAGGAAGUAAGAGUCGUAACA